UUAAACAGAGCUAGUAUAGUCUAGAACUAUACUCCACUUCGCGUUCUGUCACAACUCCCCAUAGCGUGUUAAAAUACUCUGUAAUCCCCUUUCCCUCAUGGUCAGGUGCUUAAUUGUCUUUCUUUGUCUUUCUGCAGCUGUUGGAGGAGGUGGGUCGUAUCCACUCCACAGCGAGCAUUAGCUUCACUGAUAGCUUUAACCAGAUUGUUCCCAAAGUGCUUGCCCUGGCUCAAAGAAAAUCUCCACUAGCCAAACAGUACUUGGAGGCCAGAGAAGAAGCGCUCACCGAGGAUCUACCAGGAAUGGACUUCAGAGCGGCACUCAUCCUCCUGCCAAUCAUUUUUAAAGAGAGUGUGGAUCAUCACAUUAUGAUGGGAGAGGGCGAACCCAACACACCAUACCCAAUUGUCCAGCUGACCCAAGAAGACUGGAAGUCCACAUUUGGGGGACGAAGCUCCUGUUCCCUGAAGGUAGACAGGGUCGAGGUGUAUGAAGGUAGAGGAAGCAACGAUCUCAUCGUUUUAUUCAUAUUUUGUUUUCAAUCUUGAAUACCAACCCAAAAACAAGAACACUCUGACCUUCCUCCAGCGAUGUAUUGCGAAAAUGAAUGUGAAGGGAGACCGGCCUCUGCCGACGACUGUAACCAGAGUGAUAAACCUCCUCUUCUAAAUGCCUCGUGUACACCAGUGCCCUAAGUGCCAAAGAAAAACUUUUACUCUCAUGAAGUUGGUCCAACAUGUGGGACUAACUCGUGCUCAUGAGGCAGGCUUCUCGAUCACAUGUGGACUCAAUGACUGCCAAUCCACUUUUUCCACUUACCCAUCUUUCAGAUGUCACGUUUAUAGAAAACAUAGAGCUUGCAUUUUACCUACUGGUGAUCCUGCUAGUGGGGAGCCUGCUAGUGAAAACCCUGCUUCUGAAGAUGAACAUGAGCGUGUUAUGUGUGAUAAUGAUGCAGAUGUCCAAACCCCCCCUUGUAUGGAUACACUUUUAUAUAACUUUAAAAAUAAUCUUUGUAGCUUCAUCCUAAAAUGCAGGGAAAAAAACAAUUGACCAGAAUCUGUUCAGCAAGAAAUACUUAGUGAUGUAAACUUUCUAUUUUGUUUUUU